UGCUGUGACGAUUAUAUACAUAUAUGUUCCACUUGGUCGCUCAGUUAGUAUUAAUUUCCUAUCUAUUCCUUUUUCUUGCAGACACGUUUUGAAACUAGACUUUGAUGGGAAGUUCAUCCGUAUAUGGGAAUUAUACCUUUAUAUGCCUCUGGUUUCACAUCAUGAGCAGUUAGAAAUUACCAUGUAUGGACGCAUGUAUGUGUGCUCUUUGUGUAGGUUUACCUGCAUUAUUCCUAGACAAAUGGAAGUCAUAUACUCCCUCUGUCCUUCGAAAAACAUCUUGCUGGAAAUUGUUUGAUGGUUUCCAAUGCAGACUAAAAUUUGAGCUGAUGUUGCCUUUUGCAAUUAUGUUAAUCUCAGCCGUAAGAUUGAAAGAUCAGCAGACAUUAGAUCUUUGAGUAAAAAGUAGUAACUUGGAACCUUUGGUGAACGGUAGAAAGUGAGCUUUCGUUGUUUGAGAUUGUAAAUAACAUGGGAUGGAGACUUGACCCCCACAUAAUUAUUUUACACUGACCUAUUGAACCAUGAAACAACAUUGCUGAACUUCAACAUUUCGGUAAAACAUCACAUGGAAAAUUGGCUACAACCAACCAGAUUGUUAAAUCCUCAUGUAUUUUAUACUGAACUCAAGAAGUGUGAAUAAGCAAGAAAGCUUUUGAAGAGAUCAGUGUAUCGUCGCAACUGCUACUACGAUUGGCUCCUUUCCAAGCACUGGUAAGAUCUUUCAACAGAUCUUAGCGACAUCUCUCUCUUCUUAAAUUUGCCAGGAUUUUAUGUAGUUGCUUUUCUUCUAAUAAGGUGCAUCCUGCUUGCUGUUGAAUUGUGCAGAAAGGCUACAUUGUAUUAAUUUCUUUUUCGCAUAGUUGAUACAAUUCAACACAUUUUGUAUCAACUGAUAACUUUGAAUCUUUGCGUCUUUCAUCGGAUCGUGCUUUGAAUUUGCACAUGAAUAACUAAAAGCACCAUGACAUUACGCAUUUCCUUCAUUUUAGCCAUUAAACUUACUUAUGUAUCCGGUGUUAAUUUAUCAUUUCUUGUAUAUUCAUCUUAGUUAGGAAGGGUGGCUUCAGUCAUCCUAAAUUUUGUGUGGGUUCUUUUUUCAGCCGUGGCUAGCUUUGCAAAACAAUAAUUAUUAUAAUCCUUGAUCUGCACAUGCCCAAUUUCCUUAUACCGUAUAGUGUCUCAUUCUAGAAUAGUAGCCUUUCUGCUCUGUUAAGAUGUUGAAGCACGGCGACAUUUUUAACUCAUGUUUAAUAUUGACAGAACUAAGCAUUAGGUAGUUGCUUGCAUGCCAUUCAUGUCAUAGAGAAAAUGCUAAAUUUCCUCUCUCCAAUUCCUUAUCAUGAACCUAACGCUUUAUUGAUCUGUUUUUAGCUUCUAGAUGUUCUGAAACUAUAUACACAAUAGAUACUGUUUGUCUGAACUGUAGUUCCACUCCAUGAAAAGCUGAGAUAAACUAAGAAUGGGGUAAAAAAAAUCCGACUCUUCCUGCUCACUGGCGGUGCCCGCUAUGGCAUGGGUGGCUUUACCGCAGCCGCCGAGCCUUCAAAUUCUGAAGAUAACAAGCAGCUCGAAUCCAAGAAGAAAACUAAUUUAGUUCAGCCAACACUCCUAUUUUUUGUGCAUCUUUGUUCCAACUUUGCAUUGACGCCAUGUCCACUUGGACAAUGUUCAUAUGUUACUUUGAUUUUUGCCCAAGAAAAUAAACAUUCUGAAAUCUUUGUAGGAAUAGACUAAAUACGCUACGCCCUUACAUUCUUUGUGGAGAAGUUCUUCAGCCAAUCUAUUGCCAUUGAUUUCUGUCAUCCUAAAGUUUGAAUUCAAAAUUUUAUACCCGCAAAAUUUGAUAUGGUUUGAUUGAGAUGUGCGACGUGCGUUGCACGUACACACUUACUUUUCGAUAGAAACUAGGUAUUAUGACAGUCUAAUGCAUCCAAUGUUCAUAAUGACAUUACAAAUUGUACCAUUAAGCAGCUUAGGAGGACCAUCCUCUGUUCCUGUAACAGAACCGAUGUAAAUUCUUCACUUGCCCCACCACCUACAUAUAAAGAUUGAUUGUUAGUACAUUAUUACUGAAAAAUGCUUCUCUUUGAUAGACGCAUCACUACAUGUGUACAUAAUUAGGACAUACAGAUCACAUCUGUGACUUCAUAGGCCCACACAUAAUCUGAUUUAGCCACAAGGCUUUGAAGCUGGCACCCGUGCAAUAAGAUAUAAAUAAAUGAAAAAUAAAAUAUGCCACUCACAACGGGAAAAGUAAUUACAAUUCUAACAGACUCAUCCCUCUCCUUUGUACUGCCUCUGCCAGGAAAUUGUUACAUGCUACAAAUUUGUGGAUGAAGCACGCACAAGAAAAACAAUAGAUUUACUUACCCAGAGGCCAGCCGAUUCAUGGCUGGAUCUAGUUAGUUACCUACACGUACUAGAAAAGCAUUGACCGAGCUCACCUAGAGCGACCGAAUCUGGAGGUGGGGCAAGGAAGGGGCGACGAGAAAGGACUCACAUACCAGAAGCUUACCUCAGGCCGGGCGGAGGGAGGGAAAUCAGCCGGAACAGAGGCCACAGGUGGAGGAAAACCAGCGUUGGAUCCUCGGCGGCCGACGGCCUUGCUUCUCCUUACUGGUGGACGGUUCUGCUGCUCCUGUCUGGUGGCGCUUGACGGCGCUGCUGCUCCUGUACGGUGGCGCUUGACAGCGCUGCUACUCCUUAGCGUAGCGGAUGGAGCUGCUGCUCCUGGGCGGAUGGUGCCCUGCGGGGAGGAAGGUCAGGGUUGGAGUUGAUGUGGCGCGAGGGAACAAGCGGACGGGCGGCGGCGCGGUCGAGUUAGGUUUAGGUCGGAGGCGGCGGCGCACGGGUUCUAUGUGAGUGGUGAGAGAGAGAAGGGUGAGAUUGGGGGUUGGACGGGUGUGUUUUUUCUUUUCUUUUGCUGGUCUGGUCCGACUCGGGUGUUUUCCAUCGCGCGCAUAUCUCUACUACUAUUAAACAAGCAAACAUAUCUUUCCCUCCCUUUUUUUACUAAUAAAGCAAAUAGUGUUUCUGGUCGUCCGUCAUUAAAAGUGCCCUUGAAGUUGUAAAUAAUUACCCACCAUGCCAUUGGUAAGUGGAAAAAACGGUUCGGUUUACCCUUUUCUAAAAUCCGCGACCUACUCAAGUUAUUAAAGUGAAGCCCCUGUAAUCAACAACUUGCAUGUGUGUGGCGCAGUGGUGUGAGGCUCGCCUGUUUACCUGGGAGACCCAGGUUCGAGUCCCCUUGCUCCCUUUUUCCUCCUUUUAUUUUUCUCUCCUAUUAAUGUUGGUAGGCGUAGGAUAUUACUACUCGCUCCAGCGUCACUUAGCAGAUGGGCAGCACAAUGUACCAGUUACUCUAUUUUUUGGACAUAUUCAUAUAUUUCAAAAAAAAAUCAUAACUUUCAAACCCUAACUCCAAAUCUAACAUGUUAUGUAUAGAAAUCCCUUAAAAAGAUGUGUAGAUUUCAAAUAUGGUAUUAUAUUAAUCACUUUCAAUGUCAAAAAAACUCAUAACUUUCAAACCCUAACUUCAAAUCUAGCAUGUUAUAUAUAGAAAUCCCUUAAAAAGAUGUGUAGAUUUCAAAUAUGGUACUAUAUUAAUCACUUUCAAAUCCUAACGCCAAAUCUAACAUGUUAUAUAUGGAAAUCCCUUUAAAAAGAUGUGUAGAUUUCAAAUAUGCUAUUGUAUUAAUCAUCAUUCCUAAAAUUCCAUUUAUGAUGCAACCUUUAUUAAUAUCUUCUUUAUAUGGGGUAUUUUGAAAAUCCCGGCUUAACGUUGAUAUUUCUGUAGUCUAAUAAAUUGGAAACAUGUUGAAUACAUUUCACAAAUAAUACAACCUUAUGAACUUACACCACUUAUCAUGUUGUUUCUCGUGGGGCAUUGUGAAAGAUUUGAAGGGAUUCGCCGAUGCUCUCAGGUGUGCAUAUGAGGGAUGAUUUUUUUCCGUUGCAACACACUGGAAAUAAUGCCUUUCCAUGGAAUCUGAAGCAUGCAUGGUUAAAAAAGAAAUUCCGAAUCAUACACCUGAUUUCAUGAAAAUUAUUGUGACCUCUUCAAAUAGAAAAUUCGUUUUAGUGUGGUAUGUGCAAAUCUGUUUAUUAUGUUUCCUUCUAUAUGAAAGAAAAUUGAGUUGUACUUUAGACUUUAUAGGUCUCCGUGCAUGUAAGUUUAGAAGAAAUUUGGUAACGAAAAUCAGUAAUGGGCAUCUGGUAACUUACCAAUUAAACCCUAAUUUCUUAUAUAUGUACAUACAUGUACGAUCCUCAUGAUUUAGGCUCUCAAUGAUAAAUCAAAUGAUGAAGGUAAUGACUCAUUAUACUACAAAUUAACUAGGAAGGUAAUUUAGAUAUUUAAAUUAAUCAAUUCUUUCAGGAUUGAAGUGUAGCAUCUCAUACAUGCAUUUUAAGAUCAUUGGUAAAAUAUACAUUACAUGGCUGAUGCAACAGAAUGUUAUCUUGGGUCAUUGGGCUAGGGAGGUGUGUUUUGAUUCUCCCGGUGCAACGCACGGGCAUAUUUACUAGUUCUUCUCUAAACACAUUCAAAAACACGUACACGAAACAACCAAGAUAAAAUACCACCUCACGAUUCGAUCCAUCUAAUUAGAUCUAACCGUUAAUAACCCUCAUCUGUGUACGUUUAGCAAUUUAGAGAAGCGGACGAAACUCUGCCAUCUAUUCGUCGAGAGGACGAAACGUUCCGCUGCGAGCAAAAAUUUAACUGAUUCGCGUGAUUAAAGGCCUGCAUGCAGCGGCAUGGCCCACGUUCAGCAUUAUGGCGUUCGCAUGCAUUUGUUCGGCCUGCCGAGGCGCAUCUUCAGGAGAGGGGGGAGAAUGAGAGGCCUGGCGGCGGCACAGGGCGUGCUCGCCGGCGAGCGUGCUCCCGCAUCUGCCUGGCGCACGGGGUUGGAUCGGGCGCUAGGGUUGCCCUGCCGCCGCCCAUAGCAGUCAGGGGUUGACGGGGAGAAGCAGUCGGAAGGUGACGGAGGCGGCGGUGGCUCGAUUACAUCUAUGCGACGAUGACGGCUCGACAGCGGCGAGUGGCCGAUUCAUCUCCUCGCUAGCCCCUCGCCCUUUAAAGGUUAAAGAUCUGGCACCCUCUUCCCCCGGACGCCCAGAACGAGCGGCGGAUCCAGAAAACCAGUUCGUCAAGAUACGCGCAUACACAAGAAGUAGACAUGCAAACAGCUGGAUGGAUUUUUCUUACAGGAGCGCACACACACAUAUGGAAAAGGCAAGCCGCCGGUGAAGACAGCUUCAGCCUCACCACCAAGGACGGAAUCACGGAAAGGUCAGCUUCAUCCGAACCAACCGCGAGGACCAUGCUAAGGUACAUACAUACAUAUACCAAGAUCGAUAUUGACCGAUGCUUGUGGUUGCAAUUUCAUGUCCAUCACUGAUGUAUUGGUGCUCAUGGUGAGAUAUGGGAUAAUAAGUGGAAACUUUUCACCGCUCAGUUCUUACCGAAUGAAUCUUUGUAAGUAAUCUUUUUUCCCUACCCCCUCUUAUAUUUACAGGAAAUUCAAGUGUGGUACACAUAUGAGUAUGCUUUGCUUCCCUCUGUUGUACACAUGUGGUUAUUUGUUAUCUCUGAUUAAGAGAAUCAAGGGCCACUACAUUCUUGAAUAUUGAGACUGUGUUAGUUGGUUUAGGUUAAACUUGAUACAUGCUAUUUACUUUUUCUUCAUCUGACAAUUCAGUUGUACUAUUGAUUUUGACAAUUUUCAGGAAUUUUAAGCCGUCUUUGGAUUUUAGCUUCCUCAAUCAUUCUGAAUUAUUUAAUGUUAGUAUGAGGUACAUGUGUUCCCAAGAUUAAACUUGAGAAAUGUGUAGUUGACCACUUGGGUACGUUUGAUUUCUUUAGUAGAUGCAGCGACAACCACCAUUGUCCAUGAUCUAUACUAAAGAUAAUUAUUAGCAGUGCAACAUCUCUGUUGGUUCAAUCAAAUAGUUCAGCCUGGUCGGUUCUUACUAAUAUUUAAGCCACCUUCAAUUUUUAGCCUGCUCGGUCAUUUUGGAGUAGUUUCAGUUUUGGGUGCAUGUCUUUAAUAGAACAACAAACUUAUUUUAGGUGCUAAAAUAAACACUAAACACCAAUUCCUGAUGGCGACUAUUUUUAGAAAGACCAUCCGGCUGGAGGAGAUCCUUACUAUCGAUGUCAAGCCGGGGUGGAAGAAGGGCACGAAGAUCACCUUCCUAGAUGGAAGGAUCCGGUUUUUUCGGUGCAGUUCUGUGUUUUAAAAAGUUAUUGCGAUGUAAUUUUUUUAUUAACACUACAGUCCAUGAAGUUAUAUUUACGGAUAUUUCAUUUUUCGCAUAAGAUGAAGCACCAUUUUAUUUUUAAAUAUUUUUUGAAGUAAAAUUUGUGAAUAAACGGAAUGAUGUUUCAGAGGAUUUGAAUGGUUGUGACUUGUGGGGUCGCCUGGGGAGGCGACUGCGGCAGGGAGCAGCGGCACAUCGGCGGACAACAACACAUGUGUAGCGUGCAGCGGCAGCGGCUGCACGGCCACGACGGAAGAGCAACAACACGAAUGAGGUGCAGGUGGGGGUAAGAGUAAGUAUCACUUGUCAUGUUUAACUCAUGGCAACAAAGAGUAAGGAUCACUUCACACUCACUACAGGAAAAAUACUGCUGUGACGAUUAUAUACAUAUAUGUUCCACUUGGUCGCUCAGUUAGUAUUAAUUUCCUAUCUAUUCCUUUUUCUUGCAGACACAUUUUGAAACUAGACUUUGAUGGGAAGUUCAUCCGUAUAUGGGAAUUAUACCUUUAUAUGCCUCUGGUUUCACAUCAUGAGCAGUUAGAAAUUACCAUGUAUGGACGCAUGUAUGUGUGCUCUUUGUGUAGGUUUACCUGCAUUAUUCCUAGACAAAUGGAAGUCAUAUACUCCCUCUGUCCUUCGAAAAACAUCUUG
rnacentral:lncRNA from 1 species